rnacentral:piRNA from 1 species
GUGGGCUGGAGAGAUGGCUCAGGGGUU